rnacentral:misc_RNA from 1 species
AAAGUCGUAACAAGGUUUCCGUAGGUGAACCUGCGGAAGGAUCAUUAACACGUUUCGUUCCGAACGUUUUCUGACCUUUUUCUUUUUAUCCGUGCACAAUUUAAAACCCGGCUUCAUCCAGUUUGUCUUUUGUAACAAAAAGACGAAUUGGGCGCUGCCAAAUUUUCACCCAACCUUGAAUCUAAUUGUUCUGAACUUUUAGUUGAUGGGAAACUGUCAACGAAUAAAAAAAUAAACAACAACUCUUAACAACGGAUAUCUUGGUUCUC